rnacentral:rRNA from 1 species
CUGAGGCUAACACUCCGUAAGUUUCAGAGGCUGGAAUGCACUGAAACUGAUAAAGUACGGGAAUUGUACCGAGUACUGCUGAAGGAUGAGACUGCGCCUGAUUAGGUAGUUGGCGGGGCAACGGCCCACCAAGCCUGUAAUCAGUGGGGGCAAUGAGAGUUGGGGCCCCCAGAAGGGUACUGAGACAAGGACCCUAGUCCUACGGGAUGCAGCAGGGACGGAAACUAUACAAUGCGCGCAAGCGUGAUAUGGGGAAUCCGAGUGAUGGACCACGCGUUCAUCUCUUCCUAAGUGUAAAUAGCUUGGGGAAUAAGAGCCGGGCAAUAUCGGUGCCAGCCGCCGCGGUAACACCGAAGGCUCGAGUGGUGUCCACGAAUACUGGGCCUAAAGAGCUCGUAGCUGGUCUGGUUAGUUCUCUGUGAAAUCUUCAGGCUUAACCUGGAGGCGUGCAGAGGAUACUGCCAUGACUUGGGAGUGGGGGAGGUCAGGAGUACUUGUGGGGUAGUGGUAAAAUACUGUAAUCCUGCAAGGACUAUCAGUGGCGAAGGCGCCUGACCAAAACACGUCCGACAGUGAGGAGCGAAGGCUAGGAGAACGAAUCGGAUUAGAUACCCGAGUAGCCCUAGCAGUAAAUUAUGCAGACUGUGGUGUUACAGUGGCUUAGAGCUGCUGUAGUGCCGUAGCGUAGGUGUUAAGUCUGCCGCCUGGGGAGUACGGCCGCAAGGCUGAAACUUAAAGGAAUUGGCGGGGGAGCACCACAAGGGGUGGAUGCUGCGGUUCAAUUGGAUACAACGCCGGGAACAUUACCAGGAGCGACGGCAGAAUGAAGGUCAGACUAAAGAUCUUACCUAACAAGCCGAGAGGUGGUGCACGGCCAUCGUCAGCUCGUGGUGUGAACUGUCCGGUUAAGUCCGGCAACGAGCGAGACCCUCGUUAACAGUUGCUAUCAUUAACUCCGGUUAGUGAGCACUCUGUUGAGACUGCCAUCGUUAAGAUGGAGGAAGGAGGGGGCGACGGUAGGUCAGUAUGCCCUGAAUCUCCUGGGCUACACGUGGCAUACAAUGACCGAGACAACGGGUUGCCACUCCGAAAGGAGGAGCUAAUCCCUAAACUCGGCCUUAGUUUGGAUUGAGGGCUGAAACUCGCCCUCAUGAAACUGGAAUCCCUAGUAAUCGCGUGUCAACAUCGCGCGGUGAAUACGUCCCCGCUCCUUGCACACACCGCCCGUCAAAUCACCCAAGUGAGGUUUUAGUGAGGCUGCGCUUUUUGGUGCAUUCGAACUAGGGCUUCAUGAGGGGGGUUAAGUCGUAACAAGGUA